rnacentral:rRNA from 1 species
UACGUAGGGGGCAAGCGUUGUCCGGAUUUACUGGGCGUAAAGGGCGCGUAGGCGGCGGGUCAAGUCGAGUGUGAAAGCCCCGGGCUCAACCUGGGAAUUGCGCUCGAGACUGGUCUGCUUGAGUUCGGGAGAGGAGAGUGGAAUUCCCAGUGUAGAGGUGAAAUUCGUAGAUAUUGGGAAGAACACCGGUGGCGAAGGCGGCUCUCUGGACCGAGACUGACGCUGAGGCGCGAAAGCGUGGGGAGCAAACAGG